rnacentral:rRNA from 1 species
UCUGNUCUGUCACUGACGCUGAGGCUNGAAAGCGUGGGUAGCGAACAGGAUUAGAUACCNUGGUAGUCCACGCCGUAAACGCUGAGUGCUAGGUGUUAGGUCCUUUCCGGGACUUAGUGCCGACGCUAACGCAUUAAGCACUCCGCCUGGGGAGUACGACCGCAAGGUUGAAACUCAAAGGAAUUGACGGGGGCCCGCACAAGCGGUGGAGCAUGUGGUUUAAUUCGAAGCAACGCGAAGAACCUUACCAGGUCUUGACAUCCCGAUGCCCGCUCUAGAGAUAGAGUUUUACUUUUUGUACAUCGGAGACAGGUGGUGCAUGGUUGUCGUCAGCUCGUGUCGUGAGAUGUUGGGUUAAGUCCCGCAACGAGCGCAACCCUUAUUGUUAGUUGCCAUCAUUAAGUUGGGCACUCUAGCGAGACUGCCGGUAAUAAACCGGAGGAAGGUGGGGAUGACGUCAAAUCAUCAUGCCCCUUAUGACCUGGGCUACACACGUGCUACAAUGGUUGGUACAACGAGUCGCAAGCCGGUGACGGCAAGCUAAUCUCUGAAAGCCAAUCUCAGUUCGGAUUGUAGGCUGCAACUCGCCUACAUGAAGUCGGAAUCGCUAGUAAUCGCGGAUCAGCACGCCGCGGUGAAUACGUUCCCGGGCCUUGUACACACCGCCCGUCACACCACGAGAGUUUGUAACACCCAAAGUCGGUGAGGUAACCAUUUAUGGGNCCA